rnacentral:lncRNA from 10 species
AGGAGAUGUAGUGGAGAUAUGAUUGACAUAAUUCUGUGUCUAGCUGGGUGAAUUUAUGUGUGUUUGCUUGUAUGUCUGUGUAUGCAUGUACAUACUUGCAUGGGAAGGACAGCCAGGGAACACGGAAAAGGAGCUGUCAAAGAAAUCUUAUGAAGCAAGCUGCCUACAGAAAUGUCCAUGUGUCAGGAAACUGAAGCUGGCUCAUGGUCAGCAGCCAGCAAGCUACAAAGGGCUUCCAACAGCCCAUGAAGCACUGAGUCCUGCCAAAAGCCACGUGCAUGAGCUUAGAAGAGCUUCAUCCUCCAGGCUAGGAAAGAGACAGUCGGUGUGCAGCAAGAGAAAAGAGAGGAGGAAACAUGUGGAAAGACCCAAAGAAUGAAGACACAAGAGCAUGCCUGAAUGCAAUGGGAAGUAGAUCAGUUGACCUUUGCUGAAUAACAAGGUGGACCUAAAACUGGGUGACUUGAAACAAUGAAGAAACAGGCCCAGAGAAACCUGGAGCUCAGGGAGAUUAAGUAACCUGCCUAAGUUUGCAGCUGCUCAGAGGCAGAGCCUGAACUGGAGCUCACAAAUUUGAAUCACAAUCUCUCAGUAAAACCUCAUGUUGUUCCAAAUAAAAG